CACGAAGUUAGCCGGGGCUUACUCUCCAGGUACCGUCAUCAUCGUCCCUGGCAAAAGAGCUUUACAACCCGAAGGCCUUCAUCACUCACGCGGCAUUGCUGGAUCAGGGUUGCCCCCAUUGUCCAAUAUUCCCCA
rnacentral:rRNA from 1 species